GACAUCACAAGUACUCCCUAGCACUGAGAACAAUUGUACAUUGAUGACAUUUGCAAGUGACGCCAGCUUUGUAGGCCUCACCAGGACAGCAGAGGACUGUAAUAUCAUGCAGAGUGGCUCUCGGAGAAUUUCAGAUUUGGGACUACACAUGUCACAGUUUUAAUGGCUUUUCUAGAAGACUGUAUAAAUGCAUUGCUGUCAUUUCGGGAACUGGUAAUGGAUGAGAGGAAAACCUGUGCUUCAUUCGUACGUGGUGGUGGGGAAUAAGAAAGGAGUGUUGUUAAU